rnacentral:rRNA from 1 species
GGAUGCGAUCAUACCAGCACUAAAGCACCGGAUCCCAUCAGAACUCCGAAGUUAAGCGUGCUUGGGCGAGAGUAGUACUAGGAUGGGUGACCUCUUGGGAAGUCCUCGUGUUGCAUGCC